UUCUCUGGCUCCAGCCUCCAGAUGAGGGUGGGACAAGUAGAGGGUGAAUCAUCCAGCCUCAGGCUGGCCAUGGCCCUUCUGUCUCCCCAGCCUUUGCCUGGCCUUUGGGGACCAUGUCAUGACGAAUGCUGAUGAAUCUCUCUGGGGACCUGCAACCUCAGAAAUACAUUCUCUUAUCCCUGGGAUGGGUCUGGCUGGCUAAAGCUUGCCUGUUGGUCAUCCCCCUCUGUACUGUCUUGUCUCUAACAUAACAUCCUUUUCAUUCAUCCCGUGUGUCAGGCACUGAUCUAGGCACUGGGGAGUGAACAACACAGCCUUGCUCUGGAGUUAACAGAACGGGCAUAGAGAGCUAGGUGAGUGGCGACUCAGGAAAGGCUUUCCUAGCUGGGGGACACGCUUCAGGGAGUGGGAAGCUGUAAACAGGAAGGUUGGAGGUGGAAAUAAGCCUAGGCUACUGGAGUAACAACUUGGGGAUUAGUGGCUGCGAGAGAGGAGAAGAGGCCACAGCUAGACCGCCAGGGGCUGUGAGGAGUUUGGAUUCGGUUCUCAAGGGGAGUCAGGGAAGAGUUUUCAGCAGGGGAGGAACAUGGCUUGCAUUUUGAAAAGCUCCCUGUUGUGGCCGGACAGUCCCACGCAGGAGUGCGAGUGGUGAGACAGCUGGGGGGCCAUGCGCUGCCUCAGCACGGGCGGCCCGUGGGGCCCGACGGGAGCCGGGAUCCCCAGCGCCCGACCCACCUCGGGCCCCCCCCCCACUUCCAGGGUGGGAACAGUGCCCCUUGGGGUCGAGGAGAUGGGCCGGAGGGGAAGGGGACCCCGCGACCUCGGAGCCUGGGGUGGAGGUCUGGGCCGAGGAGGCCUGCGGGCAGGAUGAGGAUGGUGUGUCCAGGGGGCGGUGGGUCUGGCGACGGUUGCCAGGGUGAUGGGGAAAGGGCUGAUGGUUGACCGGAACGGGUAGCGGUUGUCUGGGUGAUUGGAGGGGCCCAGGCGAAGGCUGACGGGAGGCCUCGGACAGUUGCUGGGGAGACAGGUCCGCUGACGGUUGCCAGGGUAACAAGAAAGCGCCGUCUUCCGCCUCCUCGGCUGCAGGCGGGAGGGAGUCAGAGUCUGGGGGUGGGGGGGAAUUCAUCGCGGUGAUUGGGCAGAGUCCUGGCUAGCGAGCCAAUAGAGACUCGUGACUCGGCCGAAGCCAGCCUGAGCCAAUCGGGGCGCGCCUUUCUCCCAGAGGCGGGGCUGGGCGCGCGCAUCCUUUCCAGGCCGGAGAAGGGACCCGGAGGGUUUGGAGGGAGGCGGCCCGGCUGAGAUCCCUCCCAGGCUCGGCGACUCCCUUCCCCUGCUCCGAGCUCCCGGCUCCAGACCGCCUUCCAUCAUUCAUUCAUCAGUCGGUCGCUCAGCCAUUCAUUCAUUCAUUCAUUCACUCGUUCAUCUGUCCUGCCACAGGCUCAAAGACUUUGGCGUGCCUCCUAUUGGCCAGACCCACCUGGAAGCCAGAGGACAAGGCCGUCCAUUGAUGCAGCCAGUAGAGACCUGAGCAGGAGGAGAUGGGGUCUGGAGGAAGGUUGUGCACACGGACGACUCCAGCGGUCUGAGCCCAGGGUCUGGGAGGCCAAGAUGCCCAGCGAUGUCCCACCCAGUGGAGGGUCCUACGACAGGGACACCGCCACCUCCAGAGCUGCAGGGCCGGCAGCUGCUCAAUAGAAGUGAGUUUUGUUCUCUUCACUCUUUUCCAUACUCAGUUCUCACCCCCCCAUCUCCUCCUCCAAGAACCGCCCCUCCCCCAGCCCCCAGCCCGCAUCCCUUCCUCUGGCGGAGCCCUGAUCUAAUGGGGGCAGUCUCAGAGCUGCCAAUGGGCACAUUCAAGUCCCACCUCCUGGCUCCUGCUCUGCACUGAAAUGUGCUUGGUAGAUUCAUUCGAUCGACUGAUAGUUGUUUCACCUACUGUGGGCCAGGCUCUAGGCUAGACACUGGGGAUUCAGCAGGGAGCAAGACGGACACCCACAGAGCUCAGAAUCUGAGGGGCACCCAGGA